GAUGAAGAACGUAGCGAAAUGCGAUAAGUAAUGUGAAUUGCAGAAUUCAGUGAAUCAUCGAGUCUUUGAACGCACAUUGCGCCCCCUGGUAUUCCGGGGGGCAUGCCUGUCCGAGCGUCAUUGCUGCCCUCAAGCACGGCUUGUGUGUUGGGCCGUCGUCCCCCUCCUAGGGGACGGGCCCGAAAGGCAGCGGCGGCACCGCGUCCGGUCCUCGAGCGUAUGGGGCUUCGUCACCCGCUCCGUAGGCCCGGCCGGCGCUUGCCGACGACCAUCAAUCUCUUUCUCCAGGUUGACCUCGGAUCAGGUAGGGAUACCCGCUGAACUUAAGCAUAUCAAUAAGCGGAGA
rnacentral:misc_RNA from 1 species